rnacentral:rRNA from 1 species
AACGAACGCUGGCGGCAUGCCUAACACAUGCAAGUCGAACGAGACCUUCGGGUCUAGUGGCGCACGGGUGCGUAACGCGUGGGAACCUGCCCUUAGGUUCGGAAUAACUCCCCGAAAGGGGUGCUAAUACCGGAUAAUGUCUUCGGACCAAAGUUUUAUCGCCUUUGGAUGGGCCUGCGUUGGAUUAGCUAGUUGGUAGGGUAAAAGCCUACCAAGGCGACGAUCCAUAGCUGGUCUGAGAGGAUGAUCAGCCACACUGGGACUGGGACACGGCCCAGACUCCUACGGGAGGCAGCAGUGGGGAAUAUUGGACAGUGGGCGAAAGCCUGAUCCAGCAAGGCCGCGUGAGUGAUGAAGGCCUUAGGGUUGUAAAGCUCUUUUACCCGGGAUGAUAAUGACAGUACCGGGAGAAUAAGCACCGGCUAACUCCGUG